CACGUGGGUAACCUGCCCAAGAGACUGGGAUAACACCUGGAAACAGAUGCUAAUACCGGAUAACAACACUAGACGCAUGUCUAGAGCUUGAAAGAUGGUUCUGCUAUCACUCUUGGAUGGACCUGCGGUGCAUUAGCUAGUUGGUAAGGUAACGGCUUACCAAGGCAAUGAUGCAUAGCCGAGUUGAGAGACUGAUCGGCCACAUUGGGACUGAGACACGGCCCAAACUCCUACGGGAGGCAGCAGUAGGGAAUCUUCCACAAUGGACGAAAGUCUGAUGGAGCAACGCCGCGUGAGUGAAGAAGGGUUUCGGCUCGUAAAGCUCUGUUGGUAGUGAAGAAAGAUAGAGGUAGUAACUGGCCUUUAUUUGACGGUAAUUACUUAGAAAGUCACGGCUAACUACGUGCCAGCAGCCGCGGUAAUACGUAGGUGGCAAGCGUUGUCCGGAUUUAUUGGGCGUAAAGCGAGUGCAGGCGGUUCAAUAAGUCUGAUGUGAAAGCCUUCGGCUCAACCGGAGAAUUGCAUCAGAAACUGUUGAACUUGAGUGCAGAAGAGGAGAGUGGAACUCCAUGUGUAGCGGUGGAAUGCGUAGAUAUAUGGAAGAACACCAGUGGCGAAGGCGGCUCUCUGGUCUGCAACUGACGCUGAGGCUCGAAAGCAUGGGUAGCGAACAGGAUUAGAUACCCUGGUAGUCCAUGCCGUAAACGAUGAGUGCUAAGUGUUGGGAGGUUUCCGCCUCUCAGUGCUGCAGCUAACGCAUUAAGCACUCCGCCUGGGGAGUACGACCGCAAGGUUGAAACUCAAAGGAAUUGACGGGGGCCCGCACAAGCGGUGGAGCAUGUGGUUUAAUUCGAAGCAACGCGAAGAACCUUACCAGGUCUUGACAUCCAGUGCAAACCUAAGAGAUUAGGUGUUCCCUUCGGGGACGCUGAGACAGGUGGUGCAUGGCUGUCGUCAGCUCGUGUCGUGAGAUGUUGGGUUAAGUCCCGCAACGAGCGCAACCCUUGUCAUUAGUUGCCAUCAUUAAGUUGGGCACUCUAAUGAGACUGCCGGUGACAAACCGGAGGAAGGUGGGGAUGACGUCAAGUCAUCAUGCCCCUUAUGACCUGGGCUACACACGUGCUACAAUGGACGGUACAACGAGAAGCGAACCUGCGAAGGCAAGCGGAUCUCUUAAAGCCGUUCUCAGUUCGGACUGUAGGCUGCAACUCGCCUACACGAAGCUGGAAUCGCUAGUAAUCGCGGAUCAGCACGCCGCGGUGAAUACGUUCCCGGG
rnacentral:rRNA from 1 species